UACGGAGGGUGCAAGCGUUGUUCGGAAUUACUGGGCGUAAAGCGCGUGCAGGCGGUUCGAUAAGUCAGAUGUGAAAGCCCUGGGCUCAACCCAGGAAGUGCAUUUGAUACUGCCGAGCUAGAGUAUGGGAGAGGAGAGUGGAAUUCCCAGUGUAGAGGUGAAAUUCGUAGAUAUUGGGAGGAACACCCGUGGCGAAGGCGACUCUCUGGACCAAUACUGACGCUGAGACGCGAAAGCGUGGGGAGCAAACAGG
rnacentral:rRNA from 1 species